AGUAAUGCCUGGGAAAUUGCCCUGAUGUGGGGGAUAACCAUUGGAAACGAUGGCUAAUACCGCAUAAUGUCUACGGACCAAAGAGGGGGACCUUCGGGCCUCUCGCUUCAGGAUAUGCCCAGGUGGGAUUAGCUAGUUGGUGAGGUAAUGGCUCACCAAGGCGACGAUCCCUAGCUGGUCUGAGAGGAUGAUCAGCCACACUGGAACUGAGACACGGUCCAG
rnacentral:rRNA from 1 species